GACUGUUCUGGUGGCCUAGUGGUUAAAGCAUCCAUCUCAGCUGUGGAAUGUCAUGGGUUCGAACCAUGAUCAAGUCA